rnacentral:rRNA from 1 species
UACGGGGGGGGCAAGCGUUGUUCGGAAUUACUGGGCGUAAAGGGCUCGUAGGCGGCCAACUAAGUCAGACGUGAAAUCCCUCGGCUUAACCGGGGAACUGCGUCUGAUACUGGUUGGCUUGAAUCCGGGAGAGGGAUGUGGAAUUCCAGGUGUAGCGGUGAAAUGCGUAGAUAUCACUAGGAACGCCGGUGGCGAAAGCGAUCGACUGGACCUCUUCUGACGCUGAGGCGCGAAAGCCAGGGGAGCAAACGGG